rnacentral:tRNA from 1 species
GUCUGUAGCUCAGCGGUAGAGCAGUGGCCUUUUAAGCCAUUGGUCGAGGGUUCGAAUCCCUCCGGACC